AAAGUGUUAUUUGACUGGAGUGAGGUCUCAUGUCUGCUUAUGCGGUGGCUCGCUGCUCAGAACAGGGAGGAAGAGGGUAAUCUGGAAGAGUUUCCUGACCUACUCUGCUGCUGUGAUUAAACAACCACCAGGAAAUUUUGAUGACACUGUUCUCCUGAGCUCCUCCCUUUCCUCGGGGAAGAAAAGCAUUGAAACUACAAAAAUAAAGUGUUAUUUGGCUGGAGUGAGGUCUCAUGUCUGCUUAUGCGGUGGCUCGCUGCUCAGAACAGGGAACCAUUGGAGAUACUCAUUACUCUUUGAAGGCUUACAGUGGAAUGAAUUCAAAUACGACUUAUUUGAGGAAUUGAAGUUGACUUUAUGGAGCUGAUAAGAAUCUUCUUGGAGAAAAAAAGACUGGAUCUUUCAUUGUAGUACUUCUGAAUUAACCAAAAUCACAGUAUUCUGAAGAUGAUUCUACAAAGCCUGCUGUUUCUACAAAGGCUGCUGAUGAUUUCUACAAAGCCUGCUGUAGUGUUGCUGUGGCCUCUGCUUAAAAAAGUAGAAAACACAUUGAUGCAGCAUGUUCACCCCAACCUCCCUGCCUAAAGGCUCAGGGACCAUCUUGGAAGAGGAAGGCGCGUGAGAUUGUAAGAGCCGAAUUAGGGGGAUGGAGUGUGGAGAAUAAGGACACUUCAUCUUGGAUGCUCACCUGCCAAAUUGACUUCUGAUGAAAGCCAGCUCCAGAAAUGUGCCUACAGUUACUACUUUCACCUAAACCCUGCCCUUAGUCAAAUCCUUCUCUUCUUCUAAGCAAUCAACUUCAAUUCCUUGUAUAACCCACAGUAUAAAAGGGCUUUUAUACCAUUCUAUCCUAUUGCAUGUAAGCCUUGGGUCUGGGAGGUAACAGUGUGGGAUUCCACCAUCUCAUCUCCCUGCCACCCAAACAUGCCUGCUCUUCUUUAAGCAAUAUUAAAUGUUUGUACUUCAGAAA
rnacentral:lncRNA from 1 species